UACGAAGGGGGCUAGCGUUGUUCGGAAUCACUGGGCGUAAAGCGCACGUAGGCGGAUCUUUAAGUCAGAGGUGAAAUCCCAAGGCUCAACCUUGGAACUGCCUUUGAUACUGGGGAUCUUGAGUCCGGGAGAGGUGAGUGGAACUCCGAGUGUAGAGGUGAAAUUCGUAGAUAUUCGGAAGAACACCAGUGGCGAAGGCGACUCACUGGCCCGUUACUGACGCUGAGGCGGCGAAAAGCGUGGGGAGCAAACAGG
rnacentral:rRNA from 1 species